rnacentral:rRNA from 1 species
GACUCUUUAAACGGCCGCGGUAUCCUAACCGUGCAAAGGUAGCAUAAUCACUUGUCCUCUAAAUAAGGACUAGAAUGAACGGCUAAAUGAGGACAAAACUGUCUCUUACGGACUAGCCAAUGAAAUUGAUCCUUCAGUACAAAAGCUGAAAUUAACCCAUAAGACGAGAAGACCCUGUGGAGCUUCAAAACCAAAAUCAACAAACAUGCCUCCUGGUUUUUUAGUUGGGGCGACUUUGGAGCAAAAAAAACCCUCCAAAACAUAAAUCUAUUUAUUAAGAAUAACACACCAAAAAUAAUAUUACAGACCCAGCAGUACUAAUUUACUGUCUGACCAAUGAACCAAGUUACCCCAGGGAUAACAGCGCCAUCCUCUUCUAGAGUCCUUAUCGACAAGAGGGUUUACGACCUCGAUGUUGGAUCAGGACACC